UACGUAGGGACCAAGCGUUGUUCGGAUUUACUGGGCGUAAAGGGCGCGUAGGCGGCGUGUUAAGUCAGCUGUGAAAUCUCCAGCUUAACUUGGAACGGUCAGCUGAUACUGAUGUGCUAGAGUGCAGAAGGGGUCAACCGGAAUUCUUGGUGUAGCGGUGAAAUGCGUAGAUAUCAAGAGGAACACCUGAGGUGAAGACGGGUUGCUGGGCUGACACUGACGUGAGGCGCGAAAGCUAGGGUAGC
rnacentral:rRNA from 1 species